UCCGGUUUGUCACCGGCAGUCUACUUAGAGUGCCUUGCAAGCAAGUAGCAACUAAGUAUAGGGGUUGCGCUCGUUACGGGACUUAACCCAACAUCUCACGGCACGAGCUGACAACAGCCAUGCAGCACCUGUGCUGGCUCCCCUUGCGAGGUCAUCCCCGUUUCCGGUUCUUACCACCAGCAUGUCAAACCUGGGUAAGGUUCUUCGCGUUGCGUCGAAUUGAACCACAUGCUCCACCGCUUGUGCGGGUCCCUGUCAAUUCCUUUGAGUUUCAGUCUUGCGACCGUACUCCCCAGGCGGAAUGCUUAAAGCGUUAGCGACGGCACCCGGGGACUAUAUAACCCCAGACACCAAGCAUUCAUCGUUUAAGGCUAGGACUA
rnacentral:misc_RNA from 1 species